rnacentral:rRNA from 1 species
AGAACGAACGCUGGCGGCAGGCUUAACACAUGCAAGUCGAACGCGUGUAGCAAUACACGAGUGGCGCACGGGUGAGUAACGCGUGGAUAUCUGCCUUUUGGUUCGGAAUAACCCCGGGAAACUGGGGCUAAUACCGGAUGGUUCCUACGGGAUAAAGAUUUAUCGCCAAAAGAUGAGUCCGCGUCCGAUUAGCUAGUUGGUGGGGUAAUGGCCUACCAAGGCGACGAUCGGUAGCUGGUCUGAGAGGACGAUCAGCCACACUGGGACUGAGACACGGCCCAGACUCCUACGGGAGGCAGCAGUGGGGAAUAUUGGACAAUGGGGGCAACCCUGAUCCAGCCAUGCCGCGUGAGUGAUGAAGGCCUUCGGGUUGUAAAGCUCUUUUGGCGGGGACGAUGAUGACGGUACCCGCAGAUAAGCCCGGCUAACUUCGCGCCAGCAGCCGC